rnacentral:rRNA from 1 species
UACGGGGGGGGCAAGCGUUGUUCGGAAUUACUGGGCGUAAAGGGCUCGUAGGCGGCCAACUAAGUCAGACGUGAAAUCCCUCGGCUCAACUGAGGAACUGCCUUUGAAACUGUCCGGCUUGAGGCCGGGAGGGGGUAGCGGAAUUCCCAGUGUAGCGGUGAAAUGCGUAGAUAUUGGGAGGAACACCAGUGGCGAAGGCGGCUACCUGGACCGGUUCUGACGCUGAUGCGCGAAAGCGUGGGUAGCAAACAGG